GGAUGCGAUCAUACCAGCACUAAAGCACCGGAUCCCAUCAGAACUCCGAAGUUAAGCGUGCUUGGGCGAGAGUAGUACUAGGAUGGUUGACCUCCUGGGAAGUCCUCGUGUUGCAUUCCC
rnacentral:rRNA from 1 species